rnacentral:rRNA from 1 species
CAUACCUAUUCGAAGGGAUAGGGUCGGUUUGGCCGGAUUUCACACAGGUGUUGCAUGGCUGUCGUCAGCUCGUGUCGUGAGAUGUUGGGUUAAGUCCCGCAACGAGCGCAACCCUCAUCCUUAGUUACCAUCAGGUUAUGCUGGGGACUUUAAGGAAGCUGCCAGUGAUAAACUGGAGGAAGGUGGGGAUGAUGUCAAGUCAUCAUGGCCCUUAUGGAGUGGGCUACACACGUGCUACAAUGGUGAUUACAAUGGGCUGCAAGGUCGCAAGGCUGAGCUAAUCCUAAAAAAUCAUCUCAGUUCGGAUUGUUCUCUGCAACUCGAGAGCAUGAAGUUGGAAUCGCUAGUAAUCGUGGAUCAGCAUGCCACGGUGAAUACGUUCUCGGGUCUUGUACACACUGCCCGUCACGCCAUGGGAAUUGGUUUCACUCGAAGCU